ACUUCGCGUUGAGUACGACUGAAAGACGGACGUUUUAGUUGUCGAUUACCGCGUUGAGCAACUUCCUGAAGAGAAGAAUGGAAAAAGUUCUUUUUUUCUCAAAUUUCACAUACUUUUAAAAUUGUGCUAAAGCAAAAAGACUUUUGGAAAAUUCAAUUGUGUAAAACGGUGAAAACUUAGUGUGAAAUUGUGAAGAAAACCAACCUGAAAUAUCUUGGGAAAGAAAAAAAAUUUGUUUAAAGUUUUUUUUUCUGCUACCAUCGGAAGAGUGAGAAAAAAAUAGCACAAAAGCAAAUGGAAUAAAUGACUGAUUGUACGUGUGAGCGAGUGAACAUGCGAGCGCAAGUGAGAAAAUGAAAAAAUAAUAAAGUAGAGAAAAAAUCGAAUUCCUUUGUAGGUGUGUAUUUUGACAAACAAAAACAAGGAAAACAAAAUGUAGAGGCAAGAAAACAACAAUGAAUGGGUAGAAAAUUCUGAAAUUUGCUGCGCUGCAAGAAAAUUUGAAGUGUUGCACAGACGAAAAGACGAGGAUGUGAAAAAGGAAAUACAUAAAUAAAUAAAAUCACUAAAAUAGAAUCGUAAACGUACAUAUGAAUGAAUAAAAAAUGACGGCUGAAAAACAAGAAUAAACAAAUUCUAACAUGAAUGUGCAUGGGAGAAAUAUUGAAAUCAAAGAAAAUACUAUAUUUUAAUACAGUGAAUAAGAAGUUACAAAAUGCGUGUUUAUUUUGAGUUGCCGCAUAAAGCAAUCAAUAGAAUUGGCAUUGGGAAACAAGUCCUCUGAAGGUCAAAUUUGUUUGCUGUUUUGAAAAAUAUCAACAAUCGAAACUACAUACACACAUACAAACAUUAUUACUACAAAGCUGUCACUACUACGACUGCAAUAACAAUUACAAUAGGCCAGCAACAGGCAUACAUUUUCUGCGUAGGAGUCAAAGAAGUAAGGCUAGGCGCGACUAGUCAGUCAUUGUCUAUUCGACCGGUCGAGCAAUACGCCUGCUGGUGGUGGGGAAGGCGGUGAGCAGCUAUGCCGACUACUUACACUGCAGCUCUUAACAGUAGCUGGUAGCGAAUGGCACCGAUACUGGUCGGGCAGAGGGGGUGACCGGGGUCUGCGACUGGAGCUGCAUUGACUGUUAACUCUGAGUCUCUAGAGUCAUGCUACUGUGGCGGUGACGGCGGCGCACAGUGUUAAGCAAGUGGUGAAAAAUUACUAAAACAAAAAAUCUAUGGGAAAUAUUAUUUAAAAAGUUUCAUUAUAUAACUUAAAAAUUAUUAUAAACUUGUCAGAUACGUAAAUAAAAUAGAAGCAUAAUUUUUUAUUACCUGUUUUAGAGCCGUUUUCGGAACUAACCUAUAACACUACAAUUCACUUGCCUAUAAACAUAUUUUCGAUCUCCCUACAGUUUUUUGAACCCUCAAACCGAUCAUUUAAAAUUUGUGUUUAGCUUCAAAAUGAAGUGAAAUUUAUUUGGGCGAUGUAAUUAAAAAAAAAAUGGAUUUCACCUUCUUGGAAAUAGUUGAACAAAUGGUGGAUUUUCACUGCAUAGGAAUGCCUCCUAUGCGUUGGAAUGUUCAGGUUGGGGAAAGACUUCACUUCACUUUGUAUGUCCAACUGGGGCUGGUUACUACGAGAAAGAAACGACUGGCGUUUUAAAGUUAGGUAUAGUUUAUCAUCAGUUUGUUUUAGUGAAGCUAGUUUUAUUGGUUAGAUAGGAAAAGGGUCCUAAUUUUUAUUAGUAGAUAUGCGACGUAAAUGUUGAAGAAAUAAUAUUUACGAAAUUAAAUCAUGAUAUGUGCAAAUUUGUGUUAUUUCGAAAUGGAUAUUUGGUAAUAAAAACUGUCGAACGCUUUUUGAAAAUUUCUUUAAAACUGUAAUAGUGGCUUGUAUGCACUUUCUUUCGGCUAAGAUGUGUAAACUAAACUGGGCUGAAAAAGCUGUAAAUAUGUACCCCAUUUUUUAAAGCUUAUGUUGAGAGAAUUUCGCCUUCAAACAAAAAAUACUUUUUGAGCUUGCUAAAAACUGCCGAAAUUUAAGAAUGGACACUAUUUCUA